AUGAUGUCUGAUUGACCAGGACCGGGACGUCAUUCCGGAUAAAAGAGUGCGUGUCGGAGUGAUGGAGUGUUCACUCAACAGCCGACGAGAUGUACUUUAUGAAAUCCUUCAGUCAGUCGCAAGAGCUGCAAAUCAGGGAGUUUCCAGAUUGUUGUUGAAUUUGUCAUCAUAUGAACCAAUUUUGCUUUCAUAUCUUCCAUGAAGCUUUUCUUUUCUUCCAAGUCCAAAAUUCAUCCCUCUACCAGUGAAAUAGGACUGAAGGAUUCGGAAAAACUGUUCAGUGGUAGAAAAAGAAAUUAAAAUAAUUAUCCAAGAUGUUGCCUGACUGAGCAUUGGGACUGUUUAUCAGAACUGAACACUGAGAAGACAAGUGCACUUUAAUUUGCAGAGAGGGGAAGGUGGAGAUAACAGAAUGAAUGAUCACUUUUCCAGUUCUGACAAAGGGUCCGUCAAGCAGAUUUCCAAAAUCUGCUGUUCUUUUUUGUUCCAAACAAAAUUGAACCAUAAAGCAUAAGAGUACAAUUAAUGAAGGAAUCAGAAAAAAAUGUAGUACGUAGUAGAUUUCCACAGUUUGUUCUUACCUAUCUAGAAGACUGAUACUUGUGCACAAGCAAAGGCUCUGCUUCUGCCUCUGAUCUAUGAUCUGCAAUAAUUCUACAAUUUAUACACCUUCUCCAGCCCACUCAGAAAUCCACUGACAUAUGCAUGACUCACUAAGCACAAAUAGUACAUUUUCAGAAGCGCAGACCAAACAACAAAGUAAGAUUUUGAAAAUAAUUUAUUCUACCUGCCCUUUUCAGAUGAAUAUUGUAUCUAGAACAUAUGAUUUUAUGCAGAACUGUGACAAACUGAAAGUAUAAUUAUGUAUUUAGAACUACUUUAAAUUAAUGUAAUUCAAUUAGUUAGCUAGUUUUAUUCAUUGAAUUAUGCAGCCUUUCCUAUGAAAAUAUAACUGUCAUUAUCGCAAAAAGCUUGUAAUGUCUUUUAUUCUGCAUUGAUUAAAAGAAAUUUUAAGCAAGA